rnacentral:lncRNA from 1 species
UCUAACUUAAGAAUUUAGAUUUAUUCUAAUAAAAUGAAUACAACUGAUUAAAAAUAGCACAUCAAUGAGUUUAAAACAAAGAAAUAAGAAAGGUAAUUGAUUCUAUUAGGAUUUGGAACCAAAUGAGCAGUUAGUAAAGGAAAGGUUUACACUGAGAGUUAUAAAGGAAUUUUUUUUUUUUUUUUGGAUGAGAGGAAAAGGCUCAGAGGAAAGUCAGAGUCAGCAUGCUUAAGGUCAAUCAGUAGUUAAUGCUAGAUUUGAUAAUACAACUCAAGUCUUUUGACUCCUAGUUCACUGUCAGAUUUCCUAGGAGUCUUUGUGUGAAAUGGACAUAUAUUUCAAUGUUGGGCCAAGGUAUAUAAGAUUACUCAUAAUGUGAUCAUAUGAAAGUGACUGGCCAAUGCACUUUUAGUUCUGAGAAGGAAGAAAUUUGAAAUUUCCUUAAUAUAGAUAGGCUUGUUUAGCACUUCCGUUAUAGGAGAGAUUCAGCAGUAAUAAUGCCACUAUUAUAAUGCCAUUUCUGUAAUAAUAGCACUUCUGUUACAAAACACCAUUAUUAUAAAAAUGCUAUUAUAAGAAACGCUGUUAUUUAGAAUUGCUUCAACAAUAAAAGUGCUAAAAAAGUCUUACAUUAUAGAAAAUUAUUGUGAAUUUUUCUUGCUUUGCAGUGAAAUUUUCAUUCCAAAUCUUAUUUGAUUCGCCUGUGAAAUGGCUCUCAGAUUUUAUUCUGAUGACUCUGAGGCCUGGGCCAGAUUGCUGUAUAGGACAGGAAAUUGCUUGACAGCCAAAGUCAGCUUGGUCAAAUAAGUCGACUUUCCUAUCCAUCAGUUUCCACAAGUAAUACGGUUUUGCUGAAUUUUCUCCACAAGAACUACAACUGUGGAUUCGUAUAUGUCCUUGGCGUGUACACCCUGUGGAAUCUGGUUCAUCUCCAAUCUGUCAGAAGGCAUCAGAGGUGGUUUUGACUCCGUAUGUCUUGGACCUGUGUACAAAAAGUACGGGCAGGAGAGGAUGCAGGAGACUGUACAAAGUUCAAGAAACGAUAUGCUUUAAUCAAGGUAAAAUGGAUGGAACAUCAGACACCUCAUUAUAGAGACAAGCUAGCUCCAAUUCCAAAGUUGGUUGACAGAACAAGUCAUGACCUUGUGUGGAGGAAAAUGAGAUCCCGAGUGAAGUCUACAAUGUCAUUGACUCUGAAGAAGGACUCAGAGACCCAUUGGUGUUUAAUGACCCUUACUGGCCUAUGCAAUGGAAACUGA